GCGUUCGAGGUUAACUCCCAACCCAUGUGACAUACCUACUGUUGCUUCGGCGGGAUUGCCCCGGGCGCCUCGUGUGCCCCGGAUCAGGCGCCCGCCUAGGAAACUUAACUCUUGUUUUAUUUUGGAAUCUUCUGAGUAGUUUUUACAAAUAAAUAAAAACUUUCAACAACGGAUCUCUUGGUUCUGGCAUCGAUGAAGAACGCAGCGAAAUGCGAUAAGUAAUGUGAAUUGCAGAAUUCAGUGAAUCAUCGAAUCUUUGAACGCACAUUGCGCCCGCCAGUAUUCUGGCGGGCAUGCCUGUCUGAGCGUCAUUUCAACCCUCAUGCCCCUAGGGCGUGGUGUUGGGGAUCGGCCAAAGCCCGCGAGGGACGGCCGGCCCCUAAAUCUAGUGGCGGACCCGUCGUGGCCUCCUCUGCGAAGUAGUGAUAUUCCGCAUCGGAGAGCGACGAGCCCCUGCCGUUAAACCCCCAACUUUCCAAGGUUGACCUCAGAUCAGGUAGGAAUACCCGCUGAACUUAAGCAUAUCAAUAGGGCGGAGGA
rnacentral:rRNA from 1 species